rfam:Yersinia pestis CO92 complete genome
AGUUCUCAUAUCUGGGGAAGGUAAGAACCUUCGACAAGGUUCGCGCCGAGCGUAGCGAGACAACGACGCAAAGCGGCGGCCCGAAGGGUGAGGAACGCAGUGACGAAUAAUCCUUCCCCCACCACCA